GUGCUGUUACUCCUUAGGCCUCGUUUGUUUCGCGUGGAUUAGGGGGGUUUCGAGCCGAUAUUCCUCGCGUGGCCCAGAAUCCUCGCAAAUACCCGUUGGCCCAUUUGGUACCCGGGGUUUCGACGGCCCAACCCACGCGAUUCCCCGUCGAUCCAUCAGUUUCCACGCGCUUCAGAACCCUCGAGCCCCCCCUCGAGGAUUUGCUCGCCCGACUCACGCCGCCGCCCGACCCGAGACGCCGCCGCCGCCUCCUCCCAAGACGCCGCCGCCGCCUCCUCCCCAAGACGCCGCGCUGCCUCGACGCCGGCAAUCUCCUCCGGCAUACUGGACUUCUCCCCGGUGGUCCCACUGAACCAGACGUUUGCAGGGUCCCUCGAAAUCGUCUGUUUGAGAGUCUCCUCGGUUGCUUUUGUGUCUGCGCUAUUGCUGACUUGUAGUUGGAAUUUAUGCUCCUGUCAUGUACUCUCUUCCAACAAUCGCUGUAGAACAUCAAGUGAUGCUUUUCUCUAUGUUGCAUAAAUAGUUCAGCAUGCUUAUGUAUUCUCAGCAUCCUUGAAUGUACGCAUGUCUUGCCUGGGACUUGUGAAUGCCGAGAACCUACGAGACAUUUUUGGUUCUAAGUCAUGCUGAUGUGAGAGAAUAUGUUGCUGUUAUGUGUAUGUGAUGAUAUAUUGAUUCCAAGUCAAUAGAAUUAUGUUGUUCAUGUGAA